rnacentral:snoRNA from 1 species
UGGGUCCAGGAUGGGGCAUGCUGGGAACCAAAGAUUGUGAGUAACCCAGUUCCGUGUAGCUGAGGUCCAAC